GUCGUUCUGCAGCCAUCUAGCGGUGCAAUAUCGAGCUUUACAUACCGGAUGCCACACACUCACUCACUCACACACACACACACACACACUCACAUUUUUUAUAUCCUAUUUUAGGAGUGCAACUAACACACACACACACACACACACACACACACACACACACACACACACACACACACACACACACACACACACACACACACACACACACACACACACACACACACACACACACACACACACACACGUGACACUCCGUGAUGACGUCAGCAUCCACGAAGGGCGAACGGGAUUUCUUUACACUCCACCAGUUGCUAUAGCGACGGAUGGUUCUAAGGUUUAUGAAAGAACUGUGUUUUUAAACCCGACCGGAUUUGCGGGUGUCGGUAAUAAACACUUCGGCUCUUUAGGCACAGAAACGGCGUUAAAAAAAACUCUCGCCUCUGAUAGGCUCCUAUCCACGUGUUGGUUAUCUCCCAUAAUGCAACGCGAACAGCUCUAGAUUUAUUUUUAUUAAAGAUUUCAUGAAGCAUUCCGUUACUGUCGUGUCUACUUUGUGUAUGUCUUGUUUGUAGUUAUUACAGAAGUGAUUACAUUUUGAUUUGGUGUUUAUUUAGUGUUUACCGUCAGCGGGUGUCUUAAUCGUUAUCACUCCGUUCUUGGUGUCGCGGCUGGUUGUGUUAGCUUUGCGCAGUGGCAGUAUCGUAGCCUAUGAGGUUUAUCCGAGGCGCGAUUAUUGCUAGUUGAAAACUUUACCCAAUACCCCGCCUUGACGACUUGAAAUAUAGUCGGCGAUGGCAAUUUUUGACGGUCUCUACGGAGACUGAUCUCUUGGUGAAAAAUCAGAUGUGAUCUCUGCUGGUGCAAACAACCUCGCGUACCUCCUUUCUUCAGUAAAGCUGAAUGAGUCACAUGAAGGGCAUGCUGCAUAUUGUCCAGAAUAAAUGUGACAUUAUUGAGUGCCUGUUCCACCAUCACCUCAAAACCAUCCAGAGAGGGGCCCAAGACAUAUCCUGCCUUCUUGAUAAGUUUGUUGAGAUCUUUUGCAUCUCCAGUACUGAUACCAUCUCCCCAGCAUAUUGUUGCAAACAAGACUGUGCGGACAGGACGUGGGUUUCCCGAGAAAGUUGAGUUGACCUUCCAGUGCAGCUUGUUGUUGAGAUGGACACCAAGGUAUAGAUAACAACCAGCUCAGUGUCCUGACUCAUGAAAGUAAUGCAUUAUGUGGGAGUAUUGUUUUUGUAAAUGCUUGAGAAUCUGAUCAGAAAUGUAUUCCUUAAAUAAAUCUCAUUACCUUU